GAUGAACGCUGGCGGUGUGCCUAAUACAUGCAAGUCGUACGCAUUCUCGUUUCUGAUUGACGGUGCUUGCACCUAAUAGACGAGACAUUGGAAUGAGUGGCGGACGGGUGAGUAACACGUGGGUAACCUGCCCAGAAGCGGGGGAUAACAUUUGGAAACAGAUGCUAAUACCGCAUAAAAGUCAAAACCACAUGGUUUUGAUUUGAAAGAUGGCCUUUGUUCUAUCACUUCUGGAUGGACCCGCGGCGUAUUAGCUAGUUGGUAAGGUAACGGCUUACCAAGGCAAUGAUACGUAGCCGAACUGAGAGGUUGAUCGGCCACAAUGGGACUGAGACACGGCCCAUACUCCUACGGGAGGCAGCAGUAGGGAAUCUUCCACAAUGGGCGCAAGCCUGAUGGAGCAACACCGCGUAAGUGAAGAAGGGUUUCGGCUCGUAAAACUCUGUUGUUAAGAAGAAUGUAUCUAAGAGUAACUGCUUAGGUAGUGACGGUAUUUAACCAGAAAGCUACGGCUAACUACGUGCCAGCAGCCGCCGUAA
rnacentral:rRNA from 1 species